rnacentral:rRNA from 1 species
GGCGGCGUGCCUAAUACAUGCAAGUCGAACGAACUCUGGUAUUGAUUGGUGCUUGCAUCAUGAUUUACAUUUGAGUGAGUGGCGAACUGGUGAGUAACACGUGGGAAACCUGCCCAGAAGCGGGGGAUAACACCUGGAAACAGAUGCUAAUACCGCAUAACAACUUGGACCGCAUGGUCCGAGUUUGAAAGAUGGCUUCGGCUAUCACUUUUGGAUGGUCCCGCGGCGUAUUAGCUAGAUGGUGGGGUAACGGCUCACCAUGGCAAUGAUACGUAGCCGACCUGAGAGGGUAAUCGGCCACAUUGGGACUGAGACACGGCCCAAACUCCUACGGGAGGCAGCAGUAGGGAAUCUUCCACAAUGGACGAAAGUCUGAUGGAGCAACGCCGCGUGAGUGAAGAAGGGUUUCGGCUCGUAAAACUCUGUUGUUAAAGAAGAACAUAUCUGAGAGUAACUGUUCAGGUAUUGACGGUAUUUAACCAGAAAGCCACGGCUAACUACGUGCCAGCAGCCGCGGUAAUACGUAGGUGGCAAGCGUUGUCCGGAUUUAUUGGGCGUAAAGCGAGCGCAGGCGGUUUUUUAAGUCUGAUGUGAAAGCCUUCGGCUCAACCGAAGAAGUGCAUCGGAAACUGGGAAACUUGAGUGCAGAAGAGGACAGUGGAACUCCAUGUGUAGCGGUGAAAUGCGUAGAUAUAUGGAAGAACACCAGUGGCGAAGGCGGCUGUCUGGUCUGUAACUGACGCUGAGGCUCGAAAGUAUGGGUAGCAAACAGGAUUAGAUACCCUGGUAGUCCAUACCGUAAACGAUGAAUGCUAAGUGUUGGAGGGUUUCCGCCCUUCAGUGCUGCAGCUAACGCAUUAAGCAUUCCGCCUGGGGAGUACGGCCGCAAGGCUGAAACUCAAAGGAAUUGACGGGGGCCCGCACAAGCGGUGGAGCAUGUGGUUUAAUUCGAAGCUACGCGAAGAACCUUACCAGGUCUUGACAUACUAUGCAAAUCUAAGAGAUUAGACGUUCCCUUCGGGGACAUGGAUACAGGUGGUGCAUGGUUGUCGUCAGCUCGUGUCGUGAGAUGUUGGGUUAAGUCCCGCAACGAGCGCAACCCUUAUUAUCAGUUGCCAGCAUUAAGUUGGGCACUCUGGUGAGACUGCCGGUGACAAACCGGAGGAAGGUGGGGAUGACGUCAAAUCAUCAUGCCCCUUAUGACCUGGGCUACACACGUGCUACAAUGGAUGGUACAACGAGUUGCGAACUCGCGAGAGUAAGCUAAUCUCUUAAAGCCAUUCUCAGUUCGGAUUGUAGGCUGCAACUCGCCUACAUGAAGUCGGAAUCGCUAGUAAUCGCGGAUCAGCAUGCCGCGGUGAAUACGUUCCCGGGCCUUGUACACACCGCCCGUCACACCAUGAGAGUUUGUAACACCCAAAGUCGGUGGGGUAACCUUUUAGGAACCAGCCGCCUAAGGUGG